rnacentral:rRNA from 1 species
AUUGAACGCUGGCGGCAUGCUUUACACAUGCAAGUCGAACGGUAACAGGCCUUCGGGUGCUGACGAGUGGCGAACGGGUGAGUAAUGCAUCGGAACGUACCCAGAGGUGGGGGUUAACGCAGCGAAAGCUGUGCUAAUACCGCAUGUGAUCUGAGGAUGAAAGCGGGGGACAGAGCAGCAAUGUUUGGCCUCGCGCCUUUGGAGCGGCCGAUGUCGGAUUAGCUAGUUGGUGGGGUAAAGGCCUACCAAGGCGACGAUCCGUAGCUGGUCUGAGAGGACGACCAGCCACACUGGAACUGAGACACGGCCCAGACUCCUACGGGAGGCAGCAGUGGGGAAUUUUGGACAAUGGGCGCAAGCCUGAUCCAGCAAUGCCGCGUGCGUGAAGAAGGCCUUCGGGUUGUAAACCGCUUUUGGCAGGAACGAAACGGUGUCCGCUAAUACCGGGCUCUAAUGACGGUACCUGCAGAAUAAGCACCGGCUAACUACGUG